GAGGAUGAUGAUUUCAUAUUUGUCGCCCCAGUCUUAGGGUCUGCAUUGUUGGAUCUGUGCUGAUUGACAUACUUCUGAAUCUGACUC
rfam:Triticum urartu cultivar G1812 contig952616, whole genome shotgun sequence.